GGCGAGGGCAGCUUCAGGGCUCUGCACAGACAGCUGAUGAGUCGCCGCGUGUCCUGCAGGGAGACCAGACAGAGACGGGAGGCUCUCUGCUCUCUCACAUCCAUCUCAGCCUGUGCUUCCCAGGAGCCAACCAAUAGCUGAGGCCCUCGGAGUACGGAUGUUUAGCCCCUCAGUGCAUGACAGACAGCGGUAUGAACGCCGUCGGCUGCUGAUUGCUGCUCGGACUGGCUCCUCCUGCCCAGGCCACUAGCGUCAGCCUCAGGGAGGACUUUGCUCUGGAUUAGCUGUGUGACCUUGGGCAAGUCUCAGGUCCAUGCUGCUGAGGGUGGACACCAAGCCUGCGCCCUUCACCUCCUCCCAGCUACUGACGGGCGGUGUGGAGCAGGCCCAGGGCCUCUUGGACCUUGGUUUCCUCAUCUGUGAAAUGGGGAUCCGUCAUGCCCGGAGCAGGGGCCUCGCCCCAGCCUGAGUAUCCCCCUGCCCACUCACCAGGACGGCCGGUCCCCCGAGUUGUCGUGCCACAGCCGGAGACUCCGCAGCUCCCCCAGGGGGAACAGGGUGGACAGCAGGAAGACGUCCACUCCUCCGCGCUCCAACCCAGGGGACGCGGGGUCUGCCAGGCGGUGUGGCUCGCUCUCUCCGUCCAGGCCAUAUAGGGUGAUGGUCACCUGAAACCCAGGGACCAGGGUGGACACCUCCCCGUGGGAACGGAGCCCACUGGCCUUGCUUCAUGGGAGGUGGCCAGAGGCCAGUGAGGACGCCCCCAUCUGCUCAGGGACCAUUUCUGUUGUGUGCAGAGUUGAGUGACACUUUCUAUAUUCACGGCUUUGAGAUCAGUCACACAUAAAAAGCCUGCUGACUUUUCAAACUC